rnacentral:rRNA from 1 species
CCUACGGGAGGCAGCAGUGAGGAAUAUUGGUCAAUGGACGAGAGUCUGAACCAGCCAAGUAGCGUGAAGGAUGACUGCCCUAUGGGUUGUAAACUUCUUUUCUAUGGGAAUAAAAUGUUCCACGUGUGGGAUUUUGUAUGUACCAUAUGAAUAAGGAUCGGCUAACUCCGUGCCAGCAGCCGCGGUAAUACGGAGGCUCCGAGCGUUAUCCGGAUUUAUUGGGUUUAAAGGGAGCGUAGGUGGAUUGUUAAGUCAGUUGUGAAAGUUUGCGGCUCAACCGUAAAAUUGCAGUUGAAACUGGCAGUCUUGAGUACAGUAGAGGUGGGCGGAAUUCGUGGUGUAGCGGUGAAAUGCUUAGAUAUCACGAAGAACUCCGAUUGCGAAGGCAGUUCACUGGACUGCAACUGACACUGAGGCUCGAAAGUGUGGGUAUCAAACAGGAUUAGAUACCCCAGUAGUC